UUCUCAUCAGAUGAAACCUUUUUACAGGGUCAUUUCUAAUUGUAAGACCUGUGCUUGUAGAAGAAAAUAAAUGCUUUGGAGCACAGCUGGGAUUUUGCUAAUAUCUAGAGUGUGAUGAAAAGGGUGGAAAAGCAAGGGAAAUUAUGGCCCUAUCACCACCUCUUCCAGUGAGGCUUGUACAAGAGACUGAUUAUAUGAGAAAGGGAAAAUUGUACUAGUCUAAACAUAGUCUUCUCAUUCAAGUUUUUAACAGACAGGUAACAAACUCUGUUUGAGCUGCCAAAGAAUUGCCAAGAUAUGACCUUUUAAAUUCUUCAGACGAUGGGGAAAAAAGAUCAAUGUGAAAUGGAUGGAUUGAGACUGAAAAGCUGGAGAAAGAAGGGAAGCAUUGCCCACCCUGAAGGCUAAAAACAGUGAAGAAAUAGGCCUAAUUCAGCAGAGAGAAGAAGCUUAAUAGUUCUCUUUAAAAGAAUCAGCCUUUCUCUUCACAAAGACAUUUGAAUAUUAUCAGAACUGAAAUGUUCACUAUCAGAAGUGUUUACCGGUGUUAUAAAGAUCUAAUUGUGAGGGUUCUUCUGAAAGUAAAAAAGAAAAUUAUAUAGUGAUGCCAGAAUGAUGGGGAGAAGAGUGUGAAGUGUGUGUUCUCAGUCCAGAACAGUGCAUUCAAAAAUGGAGCAAUUAAAUGGAAUUUCUUUCAUCCUUUCAAGUGUAACAGAAACCAAUAAAAAUGAAAAUAUAAGUUAAUAAAGGCAAGAGCAUAACUAGCAAUUUUACCAAAUUAGGAAAAAAAAAUAAUAAUUCAAUGACAGAGCUAUGGAAUUAAAAGAAGCUGGACCAUCAGCAUCUUUAAAAUUCAAGUGAGACAGUGCAUAAAUAAUAAUGAUACGGAACAACUGAUAUUUGUAGAAAAAAAAAUGACUGACACUGGAUUAAAGCUCACCUACUACAUGUAACUGACUUCUCACUGCAUGUAAAAAAAAUGAACUAAAAUUGUAUCUUAUAUAUAGUGUUGGUAAUAAGUCCUUAAAGCUGAAAGCUCAAAUACAUUUAGACAUGUAUUAGUUUUCUGUGGUACCAGACAGAUUUACUUUAUUUAUCAGCCUUAUCUAGGAUCAUCUCCUUCCUCAAGUGGGAAGCAAUGAAAUGCAAGGUAAAUAUAUGAAGGCAUGGUGUCAUCUUUUUUUUUUCUUUCUUUUUUUUUUUCUUUCCUUUUUUAAAAUCUUCUUUUAUCUAGUUAGUUAUUUAAACAUUUACCUUGGCCUUUUUGUGAGGGUAUCAACAAAUUCAGUGUCAUAUUGAAAAGUAUGAGUCUGAUCUUAUGUGCAUAUAUAGGGAGAUAUGAAUCCAGAGUCAUUCCCUACUCAAAAAUGCUCUUCGGAUGUUUCACAUAUAUUCAUUUCAUCUUUUCUUUCUAUCUGCUUUAGUCCUCUCUCUUGGGUCUCAGCAUCUGCUUACAGCUCUAUUCCCUCCAAAACACCAAAUCCUAUUUAGAACAUAUUCAGGACAUAGCUCCUGAUUUUGAAGCAAUCUGUCAUUUUUAUGAGGAGUUCUGACUCAUUUUUAUGGGAGGCCUAAGGGACAAAUGGCAUGCAGCAUGCCAGAAGAGAGUGAUUAGCCUGCCAAACUUGAAAUCUCUAGCAAACGCCCAUUGCUGUUCUAAUUAACUUUCUGCAUUCACCAUUUGCAUAAAUAAAUUACUUAGUUGAAGCUU